rnacentral:rRNA from 1 species
GACGAACGCUGGCGGCGUGCUUAACACAUGCAAGUCGAACGGAAAGUCCCUGCUUUUGUGGGGUGCUCGAGUGGCGAACGGGUGAGUAACACGUGAGUUACCUGCCCUUGACUUUGGGAUAACUUCAGGAAACUGCGGCUAAUACCGCAUAUGAGCUCCUGCUGUAUGGUGGGGGUUGGAAAGAUUCGGCGGUUGGGGAUGUACUCGCGGCUUAUCAGUUUGUUGGUGGGGUAGUGGCUUACCAAGGCUUUGACGGGUAGCAGGCCUGCGCGGGUGACCGGCCAAAUUGGGACUGAGAUACGGCCCAGACUCCUAUGGGAGGCAACAGUGGGGAAUAUUGCACAAUGGGCGGAAGCAUGAUGUAGAAAAGCCGCGUGCGGGAUGACGGCCUUCGGGUUGUGAACCGCUUUCUCCUGUGACGAAACGUUAGUGACGGUAAUGGGUGAAGAAGCACCGGCUAACUACGUG